AGCGAACGCUGGCGGCAGGCCUAACACAUGCAAGUCGAACGCACCUUCGGGUGAGUGGCGGACGGGUGAGUAACACGUGGGAACGUACCUUUAGGUUCGGAAUAACGCAGGGGAACUUGCGCUAAUACCGAAUGUGCCCCCUCCUUUGACUAGGGGGGCGGGAAAGAUUUAUCGCCUUUAGAGCGGCCCGCGUUAGAUUAGCUAGUUGGUGGGGUAAUGGCCCACCAAGGCUACGAUCUAUAGCUGGUCUGAGAGGAUGAUCAGCCACACUGGGACUGAGACACGGGCCCAGACUCCUACGGGAGGCAGCAGUGAGGAAUUUUCCG
rnacentral:rRNA from 1 species